CUACGACACACCUACAUUAGCAGUGACCAUGCUCUCAUGGUCAUUUAGACCACUGAAUUUUAGAGAGCUGUGAAUGUUCCUCUAUGUACACGGUGGUUGCUUGUGAGGUGAGGAGGGGGCCUUUUGUUCUGAGCGGACAGGUGACAAGUCUGUGGAAGGAAGUUGAUGCUCAUUUUCCCCUCUGUGAGUGUUUAUAAAAGUGCAAGUUGUGGUGAGCUGACAUAAUACGCAUCAGACUCACAAGAGAAGAUGAGGUGUGUUUGUGUAACCCUUCUGCUGUGCCUGGCUACAAUGCUGCUCGCUCAAGUCACCUGCCAAAUAAAUGGUGUGUCAAAUUGCCCUUGUCUCAGGACAUCAAAUCAGGUUCCCCGCAAGAAAGAUAUUGAGAAUUACAUGAUACAAAAAGCAGGCAUCUGCCAUAUUGAUGCCAUUUUAUUUAAAACAUUCAGUGGUCGUUUCAUUUGCUCCAGUCCAAUAAAGCCUUGGGUGAAAAGAGCCAUGGAAUAUGUGGACAACAAGAAGAAGGCAGCUGAAACGACAGCGUGUCCCAUAAACCCUGCACCAACAUUUACAAAAGCAUCAACACCGGAUACAGCCUCAGACUGGAAUGGACAGGAUGA